AGCGAACGCUGGCGGCAGGCUUAACACAUGCAAGUCGAACGCCCGCAGCAAUACGGGAGUGGCAGACGGGUGAGUAACGCGUGGGAACAUGCCCUUUGGUUCGGAAUAACUCAGGGAAACUUGAGCUAAAACCGGAUAAGCCCGAGAGGAGCAAGAUUUAUCGCCGAAGGAUUGGCCCGCGUCCGAUUAGCUAGUUGGUGAGGUAAUGGCUCACCAAGGCGACGAUCGGUAGCUGGUCUGAGAGGAUGAUCAGCCACACUGGGACUGAGACACGGCCCAGACUCCUACGGGAGGCAGCAGUGGGGAAUAUUGGACAAUGGGGGCAACCCUGAUCCAGCCAUGCCGCGUGAGUGAUGAAGGCCCUAGGGUUGUAAAGCUCUUUCGGCGGGGACGAUAAUGACGGUACCCGCAGAAGAAGCCCCGGCUAACUUCGUGCCAGCCGCCGCGGUAA
rnacentral:rRNA from 1 species